rnacentral:lncRNA from 1 species
AUGUUUGGUUUGGUGUAUUGGCUAAGCCAAUACACCCCUAAUCGGUGGACCCCAUCUAAUCCCUCUCUAUCCCGUGUUUGGUUUAAAGUAUUGGUAAUACGGGUGUAAUCGGUUACUUUCCUAAUCGGUGAAAAUCACUGAUUUCUAUUCCCCCCAUUUUGCCCAGAUUAGGAACGGCUUCAGCAAACCCUCCCUGUUUUACCCUCCCCCGAUCCCCUGUGUUCCUCUUCCGUUCCUUCAAGCUUGCUCCCCCCGUUUCAUUUCAUUUCUUUUUCGGCCGAUUUGCUCUCUGUCGAUUUGCUCUCUGUUUUACCCUCCCGAUUGCCUUCCCCAUUGUCUUCCUUCCUUCUACCUUCUGCCCAUUUGCUAAAGUUUCGACUGAUUUCCUUCUACCUUCUCCCUUCUUUUCUUUUUCUUUACAACUUCUCUGUCACUCUUUCGAUUGGCCUUCUCAACCAGUCGACACUCUUUCGAUUGCUCUCAAGUAGUGGGUUUCGACACUCUUUCG